CUGCCAGUAGUCAUAUGCUUGUCUCAAAGAUUAAGCCAUGCAUGUCUCAGUACAAGCCGCAUUAAGGUGAAACCGCGAAAGGCUCAUUAAAUCAGUUAUGGUUCCUUAGAUCGUACCCACAUUUACUUGGAUAACUGUGGUAAUUCUAGAGCUAAUACAUGCAAACAGAGUUCCGACCGGAGACGGGAGGAAUGCUUUUAUUAGAUCAAAACCAAUCGGCGGCGGGCGCGUCCGCGCGCUCGUUCGCCGCUCAACCUGGUGACUCUGAAUAACUUUCGGCUGAUCGCACGGUCCAGCACCGGCGACGCAUCUUUCAAAUGUCUGCCUUAUCAACUGUCGAUGGUAGGUUCUGCGCCUACCAUGGUCGUAACGGGUAACGGGGAAUCAGGGUUCGAUUCCGGAGAGGGAGCCUGAGAAACGGCUACCACAUCCAAGGAAGGCAGCAGGCGCGCAAAUUACCCACUCCCGGCACGGGGAGGUAGUGACGAAAAAUAACGAUACGGGACUCAUCCGAGGCCC
rnacentral:rRNA from 1 species